UUAAAAACGCGUUGCGCAUGCUACUGCGGGAGGGAGGAAGACCUUGUUUGUUUGUUGGACAUUUCGCCUGUGGUCCUAGUUUGGGAGUCCGUGCAUGCUGUCACUUCACGGAAUAUGCCAGUUGCGUGGGGUUGUCUGUUCGUCCCUAACACUGCGGUGUGGCCGCUCAUUGACUAGGGCUAUCUGUUGCACUGGCUUCCCUUACCAUCUCCCGGUGUUAUGGUGUGUGUCGCUGUCUGUGCGCCCUCUUCCCUCCGUGCCUGUGAAUGAUAUAUUGGUGCCCGCUGCCCGUGGUAGCCGGGUGAUCUCCUACUUGGGGCCGCCCUGGACAGGUUGCUGUUUUGUUUGCCAAGUGUUCCGAAACAAUUGCGCGCCUGAGCGCGCGCACGAGUGAAUUGACUGACUGAGUGUGACUGGUGGUGAGAGAGUGUGGCUGAGAGCAUGCACCGGUUUGAGUGAUUUUCUGUAUUUGAUUUGGUUUUGUUAAGUUCACGAGAAAGUGAGAGUUAUCGGUCUGUUAAUUUGUGUAUUUUACUUUGUAUGUCUGUCCUCCACCAGUGUGUUUCUUUUAGCAAAUAUUUAAAAUGUUGUA